CCUAAGUGCAGUUGUGGGUUUUCGUGUUUGACGUUUGACCGUCCGUCUUAUUUGAAAUUUUGUUAUGAUAUUAGAUGAUAAAACAUGAAUAGUAAUUUAUACAUGAUUUUUAUUUUAUUUUUUUCAAAUAAGACGGAUGGUUAAACGUUGGACACGAAAAAUCACAACUACACUUAAA
rfam:Oryza meridionalis cultivar OR44 (W2112) chromosome 3, whole genome shotgun sequence.